GUGCUCACUUUGACAGCACAUACACUAAAAUCGAAAUGAUAUAGAGAAGAUUGGUGUGGCCCCCUAUGCCAGGACAACACUCAAAUUCAUGAACAUUCCAUAUCUUGU
rnacentral:snRNA from 1 species